UACGUAGGGGGCAAGCGUUAUCCGGAUUUACUGGGUGUAAAGGGAGCGUAGACGGCAAGGCAAGCCAGAAGUGAAAGGGCAGGGCUCAACCCUGUACAUGCUUUUGGAACUGUGGUGCUAGAGUGCAGGAGAGGUAAGUGGAAUUCCUAGUGUAGCGGUGAAAUGCGUAGAUAUAUGGAAGAACACCAGUGGCGAAAGCGGCUCUCUGGUCUGUAACUGACGCUGAGGUUCGAAAGCGUGGGUAGCAAACAGG
rnacentral:rRNA from 1 species